UUGGCGAAAUCCAUGAUCCUAUGCUGCCGAGAAAAGCCUCUAGCGAGCUGGUACAUGGCCCGUACCCCAAACCGACACAGGUGGUCAGGUAGAGAAUACUAAGGCGAUCGAGAGAACUGUGGUUAAGGAACUCGGCAAAAUGCCCCCGUAACUUCGGGAGAAGGGGGACCAGUCCUGGUGACAACAUUUACUGUCUGAGCUGGGGUUGGUCGCAGAGACCAGAGAGAAGCGACUGUUUACUAAAAACACAGGUCCGUGCGAAGUCGUAAGACGAUGUAUACGGACUGACGCCUGCCCGGUGCUGGAAGGUUAAGAGGACCGGUCAGCCACUUCGGUGGCGAAGCUGAGAAUUUAAGCCCCAGUAAACGGCGGUGGUAACUAUAACCAUCCUAAGGUAGCGAAAUUCCUUGUCGGGUAAGUUCCGACCUGCACGAAUGGCGUAACGACUUCUCUGCUGUCUCAACCACAGACUCGGCGAAAUUGCAGUACGAGUAAAGAUGCUCGUUACGCGCGGCAGGACGAAAAGACCCCGGGACCUUCACUAUAGCUUGGUAUUGGUGUUCGGUUCGGUUUGUGUAGGAUAGGUGGGAGACUGUGAAACUCGCACGCCAGUGUGGGUGGAGUCAUUGUUGAAAUACCACUCUGACCGUAUUGGACAUCUAACCUCGGACCAUGAUCUGGUUCAGGGACAGUGCCUGGUGGGUAGUUUAACUGGGGCGGUUGCCUCCCAAAAAGUAACGGAGGCGCCCAAAGGUUCCCUCAGCCUGGUUGGCAAUCAGGUGUUGAGUGUAAGUGCACAAGGGAGCUUGACUGUGAGACGUACAUGUCGAGCAGGGACGAAAGUCGGGACUAGUGAUCCGGCACCGGCAAGUGGAAGCGGUGUCGCUCAACGGAUAAAAGGUACCCCGGGGAUAACAGGCUGAUCUUCCCCAAGAGUCCAUAUCGACGGGAUGGUUUGGCACCUCGAUGUCGGCUCGUCGCAUCCUGGGGCUGGAGUAGGUCCCAAGGGUUGGGCUGUUCGCCCAUUAAAGCGGCACGCGAGCUGGGUUUAGAACGUCGUGAGACAGUUCGGUCUCUAUCCGCCGCGCGCGUAAGAAACUUGAGGAAACCUGUCCCUAGUACGAGAGGACCGGGACGGACGAACCUCUGGUGUGCCAGUUGUUCCACCAGGAGCACCGCUGGUUAGCUACGUUCGGAAGGGAUAACCGCUGAAAGCAUCUAAGCGGGAAGCCUGUUCCAAGAUGCGGUUUCUCACCACCUAGCGUGGUUAAGGCCCCCCACAGACCAUGGGGUUGAUAGGCCAGAACUGUAAGCACAGCAAUGUGUUCAGGUGACUGGUACUAAUCGGCCGAGGACUUACUA
rnacentral:rRNA from 1 species